GGUCCACAGCUCAGUGGCAGAGCAUCUUCUCUAUAUCCAGAAGGUCCCAGGUUCAAUCCCUGGUAUCUCCA